ACGCCUAUUUCCCGGAGGAGUAGGCAGAGACCUCGGAUUUCCACUUGAUACGAUCCUGACAUACCCCUUUCGCUUCCUUCACUUUCAUUACAUUCCUCAUACACGCUCGCCGGUUUAGGGUGCUCUUGACUUGGCCUUUCUUCAGGAUUUCCCCGAUCUGAUCAGAGAAAAUCCGCCGAGGUCUACCCCUUCCAACUCCCACUUCCACUUCUCCCUUAUACACUCUCUUUGUUAGCCUUCUUUCACUCAUUCUUUCCACAUAUCUACAUUCAGUGGACACUUUUCCCUUAUCACACUGUUCCUAAUUCUAUCUUGCAAUCUCACACCACACACACUUCUCAGCGCUCUCAUUUCCACUGCAUUCUCUUGGCUCUGAUGCCUCUUCUGCCAUACCCAACUUUCGCUACCAUACAUAAGUGUAGGCACCAACACCCCUCUAUGAACAGCCAACCGUGCUUUUUGCGACACCUUCUGGCUGCUUAUAAAAGCGUUGAGUGCCCUAUUCACACGAUUUCCAGCAUUCACUCUCCUUUCAA